rnacentral:rRNA from 1 species
GCCAUGCAAGUCUCAGUACAUGCCUAACUAAGGUGAAACCGCAAAAGGCUCAUUAAAUCAGUUAUGGUUCCUUGGAUCUUAAACAGUUACUUGGAUAACUGUGGUAAUUCUAGAGCUAAUACAUGCAAACAAGUCCCGACCAGAGAUGGGAGGGACGCUUUUAUUAGAUCAAAACCGAUCGGCGUCCGGUUUCGGCCGGCGCCGUCUCUUUUGGUGACUCUGGAUAACUUUUAGCCGAUCGCACGGUCACAGUACCGGCGACGCAUCUUUCAAAUGUCUGACUUAUCAACUGUCGAUGGUAGCCUCUGCGACUACCAUGGUUGUAACGGGUAACGGGGAAUCAGGGUUCGAUUCCGGAGAGGGAGCCUGAGAAACGGCUACCACAUCCAAGGAAGGCAGCAGGCGCGCAAAUUACCCACUCCCGGCACGGGGAGGUAGUGACGAAAAAUAACGAUACGGGACUCAUCCGAGGCCCCGUAAUCGGAAUGAGUACACUUUAAAUACUUUAACGAGUACCAAUUGGAGGGCAAGUCUGGUGCCAGCAGCCGCGGUAAUUCCAGCUCCAAUAGCGUAUAUUAAAGUUGUUGCGGAUAAAAAGCUCGUAGUUGGAUCUGUGUGCCACGCUGUCGGUUCACCGCCUGUCGGUGUCAACUGGCAUGUCUGUGGGACGUCCUGCCGGUGGCGGUACGGGCUGCCGGCGCUGCGUAGGGGCUCGCCCCCGAAGCACGCCGGCGUGUCCCGGUCCGCCGAUCCAAUCCCGCCGCGGUGCUCUUCACUGAGUGUCGAGGUGGGCCGGCACGUUUACUUUGAACAAAUUAGAGUGCUCAAAUCAGGUCGUAUUUAGGCCUGAAUACUG